AGAGUUUGAUCAUGGCUCAGGAUGAAUGCUGGCGGCGUGCCUAACACAUGCAAGUCGAGCGAAGCACUGAACUUUGAUCCUUCGGGUGAAGAGUUCUGUGACUGAGCGGCGGACGGGUGAGUAACACGUAGGUAACCUGCCUCACACAGGGGGAUAACAGUUAGAAAUGACUGCUAAUACCGCAUAAGCGCACGGGGACGCAUGUUCUUGUGUGAAAAGCCGAGACGGUAUGAGAUGGACCUGCGUCUGAUUAGCCAGUUGGCGGGGUAACGGCCCACCAAAGCGACGAUCAGUAGCCGGCCUGAGAGGGUGGACGGCCACAUUGGGACUGAGACACGGCCCAGACUCCUACGGGAGGCAGCAGUGGGGAAUAUUGCACAAUGGGGGAAACCCUGAUGCAGCGACGCCGCGUGAGUGAAGAAGUAUUUCGGUAUGUAAAGCUCUAUCAGCAGGGAAGAAAAUGACGGUACCUGAGUAAGAAGCCCCGG
rnacentral:rRNA from 1 species